UACGUAGGGUGCGAGCGUUAAUCGGAAUUACUGGGCGUAAAGCGUGCGCAGGCGGUUUUGCAAGACAGAUGUGAAAUCCCCGUGCUUAACCUGGGAACUGCAUUUGUGACUGCAAGGCUAGAGUACGGCAGAGGGGGGUAGAAGUCCACGUGUAGCAGUGAAAUGCGUAGAUAUGUGGAGGAAGACCGAUGGCGAAGGCAGCCCCCUGGGAUAACACUGACGCUCAUGUACGAGAGCGUGGGUAGCAAACAGG
rnacentral:rRNA from 1 species